UGAUAACAGUACUGAGUUGGCCAACAUGGU
rnacentral:piRNA from 1 species